rnacentral:rRNA from 1 species
UUGCUUCUCCGCCGGCGACCGGCGCACGGGUGAGUAACACGUAUGCAACCUGCCCCUGUCAGGGGGACGACCCGCCGAAAGGCGGGCUAAACCCGCGUACAUGCCACCGGGGCAUCCCGGAGGCAGGAAAGGCUUCGGCCGGACAGGGAUGGGCAUGCGGCGCAUUAGGCAGUAGGCGGGGUAACGGCCCACCUAACCGACGAUGCGUAGGGGUUCUGAGAGGAAGGUCCCCCACACUGGUACUGAGACACGGACCAGACUCCUACGGGAGGCAGCAG